UCCGACUUUUGUUUGAAGAGCCGCCACUGUGCGACGUGCAGAAGAAGCGCUAUGGAAGGCAGCACAAGGUGAAAUGUUUCCGGACGAAAUCGCCGUUCUCGUCAAAACGCAAGGACCACCCGAACAGCGUCACCAAAUCGUACAGAGGUCCAGUGAUAUUUACACUAAAUGGUCUUUCCUCGACGAAAGAGGAAUCCUGCGGAGUCGAGGCCAAAUCGGUGCUGCACCUUACGCGCCGACCGAAGCUAAGUUCCCUGUAAUCCUCCCCAAUCAACACCUAAUUACCUUUUUAAUUGUAGACUGGUUCCAUCGUCGCUACCACCACGCCAACCGAGAGACCAUCUUCAACGAAAUUCGCCAACGUUUUGAAAUCCCGAAGCUGAGACGGCUGUUGGACAAAGUUGUGAGCAAAUGUACAUGGUGUCGCAUCGUGAAGGCUGCACCGACACCACCUGCCAUGGCCCCGCUUCCUGAGAUGCGCUUGAAGGCUUUCGUUCAACCCUUCACAUUUACUGGGUUGGAUUACUUCGGUCCGGUGCUGGUUAAGGUGGGCAGAAGCAAUGCAAAGCGGUGGGUGGCCCUUUUCACCUGUCUCACCACCAGAGCUAAACACUUGGAGGUGGUACAUUCAUUGAGCACAGAGUCGUGCAUCAUGGCGGUCCAACGUUUUGUAUCGUGCCGCGGUAUACCGAAGGAGUUCUGGUCCGAUAAUGCGACUUGCUUCCAAGGCACGAGCAACGAGUUAAAGGCACACACCGAAGCAAACAAGGCGCUGGUCGAGAAAUUCACUACGGUGCAGACUACGUGGAAGUUCAUCCCACCAGCAACACCACACAUGGGCGGUGUGUGGGAAAGGCUUGUUCGCUCUGUUAAGGUAGCGACUGAGGCAGUGCUGAACGGUCCUCGUCGGCCAGACGAUGAGACACUCGAAACGAUCCUACUUGAAGCGGAAUCAAUGAUAAACUCAAGGCCACUCACUUAUAUCCCACUAGAACAUGCAGAUCAAGAAGCGCUGACGCCUAACCAUUUUUUGUUGGGAAACUCAUCCGGCUGCAAAUUCCUCCCAACGAAGGCGGUGGACUGUCGUAUGGCCCUUAGAAGCAGUUGGAAAUUAGCCAGAUUCAUCACCGAAGAGUUCUGGCGCAGGUGGCUGAAGGAAUACCUUCCAGCUAUCACACGCAGAUGCAAAUGGUUCCACGACGUUAAGGAUCUGGAAAUCGGCGAUCUGGUCUUGGUGGUUGGUGGGACGGCAAGGAACCAGUGGAUUCGGAGACGGAUUGAGACGACCAUCCCAGGACGAGAUGGCAGAGUGCGGCAAGCGUUGGUGCGAACCUUGACGGGGAUCAUUCGAAGACCAGCCGUGAAGCUGGCUGUGUUGGACGUCCUUGAUGAAAGUAAACCUGCUCCUCGCGUUGCGGAACUUCACCUAGGUUUACGAGCAGGGGUAUGUGCCGACAGAACCCAUCGUAUCGGCAACGCUGCCGAUCGCAGUCACACUGCUCGACGCGGCGCAGCACCGGAUGGUGGCACUGACGUACGAGAACGUCAGUUGAGACAACGUAAGGGUGAAAAAUCUGCACAGUCAUUCGAAGAAGGACUACCACAUGGUGAAUUCUUCAUCACAAUUUAUUAAUAAAAUCUCCAGAUCCAAUCCACACGUGUGGGACAGUGACGACCUAUUCCUUCCACUGGAUUCUUACGGUCACCAAAUUUCUUAAAGCUGAUUAUACAAAAAAUUGAGUUUGCUGUUGAGAGUUGGUGCAACCUAUCCCCACAAUAUGAAAUGAUUGAAAUGAAGAAAUGGAUUAUAUGAAUGGAU